AACAACGUUGGGAGGCAUCUCCCGAUGUUUAAAGAUUUAUCGGCUGCGGAUGGCCAUGCGGCGCAUUAGCUAGUCGGCGGGGUAACGGCCCACCGAGGCGACGAUGCGUAGGGGUUCUGAGAGGAAGGUCCCCCACACUGGUACUGAGACACGGACCAGACUCCUACGGGAGGCAGCAGUGAGGAAUAUUGGUCAAUGGCCGAGAGGCUGAACCAUUUUUUUCGCGUGAGGGAAGACGGCCCUACGGGUUGUAAACCUCUUUUGUCGGGGAGCAAAUCUAACCACGUGUGGUUCAUUGAGAGUACCCGAAGAAAAAGCAUCGGCUAACUCCGUGCCAGCAGCCGCGGUAAUACGGAGGAUGCGAGCGUUAUCCGGAUUUAUUGGGUUAAAAGGGCGCGCAGGCGGAGGAGCAAGUCAGCGGCCAAAAAGCGGGGCUCAACCCCGAACAGCCGCCGAAACCGCAUCCCAAGAGAGCGCGAGAAGCACGCGGAACGCGCGGCGNAGCGGNGAAANGCANAGAUCUCUCGAGGAACNCCGNNNGCGNNGGCNGCNNCCCGGCGCGCNNCNGNCGCNCNNGCNCGNAAGCGGGGGGAUCUUUUUAUGUAAGAUACCNNNNNNNCCAAGAAAAAAAAGACCCCCUGAUGUAGGCGGCCAGAAUGAUGGCUGAGUGGUACAGCGAAAGCGUUAAGUGUUCCACCUGGGGAGUACGCCGGCAACGGUGAAACUCAAAGGAAUUGACGGGGGCCCGCACAAGCGGAGGAACAUGUGGUUUAAUUCGAUGAUACGCGAGGAACCUUACCCGGGCUCAAACGACACAGGAAUACUUUAGAAAGGAGGUAGCCCUACGGGGUCUGUGUCGAGGUGCUGCAUGGUUGUCGUCAGCUCAUGCCGUGAGGUGUCGGCUUAAGUGCCAUAACGAGCGCAACCCCUAUCGCCAGUUACCAUCAAGUAAAGUUGGGGACUCUGGCGAGACUGCCGGCGCAAGCUGAGAGGAAGGCGGGGAUGACGUCAAAUCAGCACGGCCCUUACGUCCGGGGCGACACACGUGUUACAAUGGGAGGUACAGAGAGAAGCCAGGUGGCGACACCGCGCGGAACUCGAAAGCCUGUCUCAGUUCGGAUCGGAGUUUGCAAGCCGACUCCGUGAAGCUGGAUUCGCUAGUAAUC
rnacentral:rRNA from 1 species